UACAGAGGGGGCAAGCGUUGUUCGGAAUUACUGGGCGUAAAGGGCGCGUAGGCGGCCUCUUAAGUCGAACGUGAAAUCCCCGGGCUCAACCCGGGAACUGCGUCCGAUACUGGCUGGCUUGAAUCCGGGAGAGGGAUGCGGAAUUCCAGGUGUAGCGGUGAAAUGCGUAGAUAUCUGGAGGAACACCGGUGGCGAAGGCGGCAUCCUGGACCGGUAUUGACGCUGAGGCGCGAAAGCCAGGGGAGCAAACGGG
rnacentral:rRNA from 1 species